rnacentral:tRNA from 1 species
GUCUUCGUGGUGUAGUGGUCAACGCGCUCGACGCGUAACCCAGUGGUCCGCGGUUUGAUUCCCGGCGAAGGCC